rnacentral:rRNA from 1 species
GACGAACGCUUGCGGCGUGCCUAAGAAAUGCAAGUCGAGCGAGUUCGAGGCUUCGACCAAAGAGCUAGCGGCGAACGGUCGCGUAACACGUAAGCAACCUGCCCUAAAAUGGGGGAUAGCCCGCCGAAAGGCGGAUUAAUACCGCAUGUGGACAUUGGAUCGCAUGUUCUGAUGUCUGAAGCAGCAAUGCGUUUUAGGAUGGGCUUGCGGCCUAUCAGCUAGUUGGUGUGGGUAACGGCCUACCAAGGCGACGACGGGUAGCUGGUCUGAGAGGAUGGUCAGCCGGACUGGGACUGAGAUACGGCCCAGACUCCUACGGGUGGCAG